UGUGCAUCAAAUGCUGAGAAGGCAGCCUGGCUGGAGCUGGGGUCUGUGCGUGGACGGCGCUGGUGCAGGGUGGGGAGGAGGCUCAGCCAUGCGGUGGGCAGGGAGUGAUGCCUGAUGCACAGAGGACAGAGGGUGCCGGUUUCUUAGUGCCAGAAGAGGGAGGAAUAUACCAAGGGAGGCACCCACGUGCCCCUGGCGUCAUCUCCACAUGCAGGCAGGCAGGCAGAAAGUAAGAGAUCAUGUGGACAAAGGUGUGUCCCCAGCUCUGUCCGUCAUCUCCACAUGCAGGCAGGCAGGCAGGCAGAGAGUAAGAGAUCAUGUGGACAAAGGUGUGUCCCCAGCUCUGUCCGCGGAGGGCCGGGAGCAGGGCUACACCUGAGUCAGUGAGAUCGCAGUACCGCACGGAGUGAUUUCAGACCUUGGUUUCUAAAGACCAUGUUCCCUGAAGAACCAGCGUGCCUCUGAGAAAUGCAGAUUCCAGGACUGGGAUGAGAAAAGAGGCUGAGCCGGGAGGCUCUUGUUGUGACAAAGUAAGGGCAGUGCUCAAAUGAACAACGGGGACCUGCCUGACAGGGCUUCCACUGGCCAAAUCUGGGACAACCUGAACAUUAAAUAAAAACCAGUAACCAUAGACGGUCACCCACUGAUGCCAACAGAAGCUCGCCUGUCUAUGUUGACACAAUCGAUCAAGGAACAAGCACGUGGGGAGAAGGGCAAGCUCCUCCUUCCAGUGAACACCACUAAUCAACGCGGCAGGGAUGGUGCUCAGAGUAUCCCACGGGUGGUGAGUGCCUGUAAUCCCAGCUACUUGAGAGGCUGAGGCUUGAGAAUCUCUUGAGCUCAGGAGGCAGAGGGUGCAGUGAGCCAAGAUUGUGCCACUGCACUCCAG
rnacentral:lncRNA from 1 species